AUGUGGCACAGAGCAAAAGGGAAACAAGAGGAAUAUCAUGAACAAAAGCAAUAUGUGGAGCCGCAUCCUAUCGUCACCAACCGCAAUGUAGCAUCUCCCCAUCAUCGAUGGGGAUCAUUAAGGGGAAGUGAACAAGUACGUCGGCUACUAUUCACAACUGAUUGGCCACCCUCAAAGCGGGAUGGAGUGUCGACUCACAUGGUGGUGGCGACCACUAUGUACAAAUCGCACGGGGCGGAGGAUGCCAAGAUAAUGUUGGCGGAUGAAACCCUCUUGAAUGAGGAUACAAAGAAGUGGCUUGUGGGGAUGAAGAAGGAGAUCAACGAGCGUAGGGAGUAUGAGGCUGCGAGGGCGGUUAUGGAAAUAGUGGGACAGGAGGCAAGGAUGCAUGCGGAGCAGGAGGCAAGGAUGCAGACGAAGCAUGCCGCAUGGAUGGUGUCCGACGAGUGA
rnacentral:rRNA from 1 species